rnacentral:tRNA from 1 species
GCCUGGGUGGCUCAGUCGGUUGAGCGCCAGACUCCGGCUCAGGUCAUGAUCUCACCUCACAGUUAGUGGGUUCGAGCCCUGCAUCAGGCU